GAAAGGGAACGGGGAGCCGAGCCCGAAAAAACCGAACCAACCAAAACCAAUAAAAGAAAAAGAAUACUUUCGUCGAGCAAAAACAAAAGGAGAGAGAGGGAUUCGAACCCUCGAUAGUUCACAACGAGGGGGAAACAGAAGGGAAGAAAGAAGGAAACGAAGAACAGAAGGAAAGGGUGAGGGAACAGAGGAAGAAGAGAGGAAGGAGGAUCGCUACACCGUGCUUCUCCCUGCGCCGGUUGCCGUCGCUGUCGCCAGAGCCAGAGGACAGAGAGAGAAUGCUCGCAAGGGAGAGGACAAACGCGAGGAGGAGGAGAGCUCGUGCGUGAAGGAUAGCGCCGCCAUUCCGUCGCCGCGCAACUGUUGUUGCCACCCCGUCACCAUCGUUGUCGCGGCUGGAAGCAUAAAGUUCGAACAGAGGAGGAGAAACCGCGAGUGAAGGGUGACGCUGGGCCUCUAUCGCUGCUGCUAUCACCAAGCGUCGUUGUCGUUGCCGCCGAAGGCCAAGGCCCUAUCGUUGUCAUCGAUUCUGCCUGGAGCCGCCACCCACUUGUCACAGCGAGUUAGUUACUCUGCCGCCGCUGAAUUUGCCGUGUUGAGACUGAAACUGCCACUUUGACUCUGGGCUGUAAUUGUUCUUUAUUCCCAUCCAAUUUGAAUUCCCUGUUUCGUUGUAACUAUCAUUACUGUUGUGGAAUUGUCGCCGUUGCGAGCAUUAUUAGAGAUAGUGCUAGAUUCGGAUUUGCAUGGGAAUUGCCACUGCUGUGAGUCAAAAGGAAAAGCCGCUCAUAGCGUUUAGUCUUACCAGUUUCGACAUCGAGGUAGGGGGUUAAAAUGAUUUUAAUUUAGGAAUGCCAACAAGGUUUAUUGAAUAACUGUAAAUAGUAUUAAUAGUUGUGAGUAAUUAAUUGAUUAUAUGAAUGUUGGAUUGUGAUUGCGAUUGUGCUUGGUGCUGUGAUUGAAUUGAUUGUAAUUAUGUGUGGUAGAUGAUUGAAUUAUUGAUUAUUGGUUGUUGAAAUAGUUGUUUGGAAUAUUGCUAUGGCUGUGAAAGUGACUUGAGAUUAGUAGAGGAUUGUGGUUUUGACUGAUUAUGUAUAAAUGGUUGAGACUAAGAUAAUCAUUUGAUAUAUUUGAUAUUGGAUUGAGAAUUGUUGAAGAAUUAGGGCCUAAAAGACUAAACUAUUAUUAAGAAUCUGGUUUUCAAAAUAGAAUGGUUACUUUGAGGACAGCCUAGUAAUUUGCUAGCGAUCGAAAUGGUAUGAGAUUAAAAUCUGAGUAAACUUUAACAAGUGUAGUUAUUAGGAUUUAAAUUUGAAGGUUUCGUAUUAACUGAAGAUUUAGUUAUGAUUUUUCAAAGUUAAGCCGUAAAAUCUGAUUUUUUUGCAUUAUCUUUAAGUGAAAACAGUAACUUCGAAAGUUUGUAACUAAUUCUGUGAUAAUCGGAAUUGCGUUGAACCAAGUCCUGGUUAAACUUGGGAAUAAUUGGGACUGAAUUGGAGAGUUUGAGAUCUUUUCAUUAAAUAUAAGAUUUAUGGUGAAUUUUUGAGUAAUGGUUGUGGGAUCUGAUUUUUACUGCAGAAUUUUUGGAACAGCAGUAACGAGUUGGCUCUGCUGUGAAUGUUCCAAAUUUAAUUUUGAAGUAAAACUAAUUUUAAAUGAAACUUUAGUCCUAUUAUUUUAAUUUCGUAAAAUUUCAGAACGGUUGAACUUGCGGUUUAAAAGAUACGAAUUUUUGAAAUACGAUGCAUUAUGCAGUAAAGGCCAGAUUCUGUUUUCUUAAAUCAGUAAAUUUGGAAGUUUAUAACUUUUGAACCUGGUUGGAUAUCGAGGUGCAACCAAUUGGAAGUGAAAAUUAAGUAUGUUUAGCACAUGUGACUUAAAUUUCAGGGUUAUCCAUGUUUUAAUGAGUAAGUUAUAGGACUUGGAAGAAGAUAAGUUCAUUAAGUUUUAAAACAGAAUUCUGCAGAAAAUUAGUCAACUUCUAGGUUAUAUAACUUCUUCAUUAAAAAUUAUAUUGACCUGAAACUAAUUGGUUAAGAAACUUGGAUGAGUGAAGUUAAACUAUAUUAAUUUUUAAAGUCAUUGGAUUUAACUUGGAUUUUAUAUUGAAUUUUGAAUAUCACAUGCUGCUGCUGUUUUUCUGGUUUUACGCACUGCAGAGCAGUCACGAUUUUUUCUCUAUUCCUAAGGAUAGAGAAACCAGAAAAUUAUGAUCUUUAGUUUGUUAGAAAGCUUAUUUCAAGAUGAACGCCUGGACAUAAAGUUUGCACAAUUCCGAGUUUAUUUGCUAUAUUAAAAAUAGAAAAGAAGAUAGAGUGCUGAGAAUGUCUGAGUGAGAGUUAUGAGUUCAUAAAAUUAAAGAUGAACCUUAGCGUCAUAGGGCUGAUUCAAUGUUGGAAUCUGUUUGAUUCUGAAUUGAUUUGAUAUUGGAGAGGUU